CCGAGUUAACGCAAUAAGCAUUCCGCCUGGGGAGUACGGUCGCAAGACUGAAACUCAAAGGAAUGACGGGGGCCCGCACAAGCGGUGGAGUAUGUGGUUUAAUUCGACGCAACGCGAAGAACCUACCAGGGCUUGACAUUGAGUGAAAGGCUAAGAGAUUAGUCCCUCCCUUCGGGGACACGAAACAGGUGGUGCAUGGCUGUCGUCAGCUCGUGUCGUGAGAUGUUGGGUUAAGUCCCGCAAGAGCGCAACCCCUAUCAUUUGUUGCCAGCACGUAACGGUGGGAACUCAAAUGAGACUGCCCGGACAACGCGGAGGAAGGCGGGGAUGACGUCAAGUCAUCAUGCCCCUUAUGUCCUGGGCACACACGUACUACAAUGGGAUGGACAGAGAGCAGCGACCCCGCGAGGGCAAGCGAACCCCUAAACCAUCUCCCAGUUCGGAUUGCAGGCUGCAACCCGCCUGCAUGAAGUCGGAAUCGCUGUAAUCGCUGGUCAGCAUACAGCGGUGAAUACGUUCCCGGGCCUUGCACACACCGCCCGU
rnacentral:rRNA from 1 species